rnacentral:lncRNA from 1 species
CUGGUGUCAUUAUACAGAGGGCAAAUUCAGAGACUCAUUCAGGGAGAACAGGGAAUAUGAAGGCAGAGUUUGGGGUGAUACAGCAGAAGCCAAGGAAUGACAAAUCCUGGAAAGCAGCAUGGAACAGGUUUUCCCUCACAGCGCUUAGAAGGAACCAAUCCUGCCAACAACUUGAUCUUGGACUUCUAUCUUCUAGAACUUUAAUUUGCAGGUUCUCCCUCUGCCUGCCACCCCACCCAGCAAGGAGGAGAGGAAGUGUUGAGAAGGGAAGAGAUGAGUCCUGGCCCUGUCACUUCUUAGGGGUGUGCUUUUGAACAACCUGCUCACCAUGUAUGAACUUCACUCUUCUUGUUUAUAAAAUGAGGACAAUGACACCUGCAAGACUGUGAGGUUUAAAAACAAAAUCUGUGUUGAGAGGGCUAACUGCUGACUGGAGAGGGGAGAAAAUGGAACACGGAGAGACAGAAGAAAGCAAAGAACACUAAAUAUAAUUCAACCUUGACUUGAUGGCUGAGAUUAUCAAUGCUACAGGACAACUUGACUGAGAAAUAAAGUGUG